ACCUUAACCCUAGAGCAAACCAUCAGCCGCCACCUUCACUACUCCCCUUCUCCAGCCGCCGCCGUCGCGCCACCUACCUCUUCGCCAUCAGAACUCCAUCGCCACUGUCGGGCGACGCGCAUAACCGAGGAAGAACCACCAAAAGCGGUCAAAUGAAGCGGUAUCGACUGGAAAUCGGAGAUGUUGUGGCCACCAUCCUCCUGCUUUCCGACGUCUCUUUUUCAGGCGUUGCGUAUCAACCCCGUAGGCAUCGACGCUGCUCAUCUCCGUCGAAGACGUGGGUGUCCCCAGGCUCUAGGCUGCAGUUGUUGUUGUUAAUCGCCGACAGCCAUCGCUAUGGCCGCUAGUGCCGUCGCUGCCUUCACCGUGCGUCACUAGGUGGGGGGGGCUACGUUUGUUUGGGCGUAAAGGUCGAGUAUUGGUGUUUCGUAUCGUGAUUUGAGAGUUUCUAUCGGCUGGAACCACCGUGGCGCCCAACCAUGAUGGCUGCCACCUUCUACCACCACCAGCCACCAUAGGGUGGUUGUGUGUGUGUUUAUGUUGUUUAGUGUAUGUGUNAUUUUGGGAUCAGAGUUGUAAAAUGUAACAAAAGGAAGAGUAAUGAAAAGAAAAUGGAAAACCAUCACCUUAGGGGGGUGCCUGCCGCCACCGGCCGCCGUGUCGGGUGGCGGUGUGUUUUGCUUCGUUGUGAUUGAUUCGUUUUGGGUGCUUGAAACCCUAGUGGGCCUUUUAAUCCCUAAUGGGCCCAAUGAAGCUUAAUCGACCCUAAUUGACCCAAUAAAACCCUAAUGGGCUUAAUGGUAUUCUGGUGGGCCUAAUAGGCCCAAUAAAGCCCAAAUUGACCUAAAAGCCAAACAAAUUGAUAAAUGGGCUAGUAUUUGGGUUGGAAACCCUAAUGCCAAUAAAACCCUAAUUUGGGGAAUUAAUCGGGACAUACGGGGAUUAUUUAAUAACUUGAAAUAUUAAAUAAUAAUCACUGGCAAAGAUUAAUCUAAACAAUAUUGGACUUAAUGGAUUAAGUCCUUAGAGGAUUAAGUCCUUAAUGGGUUAAAUGAGAAACACUUAACCCUAAUCGUCAUUUUAUGUAAAACCCUAAUUUCACUUGGGCUUAUUGUUGGGCCUUUCUAUUGGGCCUUGAUGAUUGGGUUAUUAAUGGGCCAUCUAAGAUCAAGCAAAUGGACUAGAAUAAUUAAUGGGCUUUGUGGUAAGGCCCAUAUGAGGAGUUGGGCCCAAUUUGGAAAAUUGGGCCAUAGUUUGGGCCUUCAUGAUUAUGAGGUAUUGGGCCAUUAGAAUACCAAAUGUUGGACUGGACUUUUUGGUUGGGCCUUUAAAUAAGACCAUGUAUCGAACUGGGCCUAAUUUCCAUGUGUUGGGCUUUGAUUUCCUAGUUGGCUUUGGGCCUAUGGUUUGGGCCUUGGGCUUGAAUAAGUCAAGCUUAGGGUAAUGUAGUAAUUAUCCAAAGAAUGUACUUAUGGUUAUGUAGUGGAACCCAAUUAUUAAUUGGGUGUUAUUUUUAUGAUUGACAGUUCAGGAAUUUGUCAUCUAGCAGCCGGGGUUGAGUCUGCGGGACUUCAGCAGUGUGGGAUUGUGUCUACGGGACUUCAGCAGUGUGAGGCAGUGUUGUAAAACUCGCCGAGUUGGCCGAUUACUCCUCCGAGUACUCGCUACUCGGCCCCUUACCGAGGCGAGUUACAAUUUCCCGAGUACUCCCCGAUCGGUCCCUUACUGAACUGAGCAGUGUUGUAAAACUCGGUCAACUCGGUGAUUAAUAUGUAUAAUAUACUUAAUGAUUUAUUAUUUAACACACACACACAUGGAUUAUUACUAUAUAUAUAUUAAAUUUUCAGUAAUUAUUCACGAACUGAAACCAUUAUGUGUUUUUUUUAUAGUUUUUAUGUAUUCACAUGUAUCUAAUUUUGUUAUAUAUUUCAAUCAGCU
rnacentral:lncRNA from 1 species